rnacentral:lncRNA from 1 species
UCCGGAGAGGGGAAUCCGUCGCCGUCGUCAUCAUCAACCAUCCUCCAUCACCAAUUUCACGAUGCUCACCGCCGUGCAUGAGUAAUUCCAUCGUAGGCUUGCUGGACGGUGAUGGGUUGGAUGAGAUUUACCAUGUAAUCGAGUUAGUUUUGUUAGAGUUUGAUCCCUAGUAUCCAUUAUGUUCUAAGAUUGAUGUUACUAUGACUUUGCUAUGCUUAAUGUUUGUCACUAGGGCCCGAGUGCCAUGAUUUCAGAUCUGAACCUAUUAUGUUUUCAUGAAUAUAUGUGAGUUCUUGAUCCUAUCUUGCAAGUCAAUAGUCACCUACUAUGUGUUAUGAUCCGGCAACCCCGAAGUGACAAUAAUCGGGACCACUCUCGGUGAUGACCGUAGUUUGAGGAGUUCAUGUAUUCACCAAGUGUUAAUGAUUUGGUACGGUACUCUAUUAAAAGGAGGCAUUAAUAUCCCUUAGUUUCUAAUAGGACCCCGCUGCCACGGGAGGGUAGGACAAAAGAUGUCAUGCAAGUUCUUUUCCGUAAGCAUGUAUGACUAUAUUCGGAAUACAUGCCUCCAUUACAUUGAUGAACUUGAGCUAGUUAUGUGUCACCCUAUAUUAUAACUAUUGAAUGAGGAAUCGCAUCCAACAUGAUUAUCCAUCACUGAUCUAAUGCCUACGAGCUUUUCACAUAUUGAUCUUUGCUUAGUUACUUUACCAUUGUCGUUGUUACAAUUACUACAAAACUGCUACUAUUACUUUUGCCACUGUUACCAUUACUUCCAUAUUACUUUGCUACUAAAUACUUUGCUGCAGAUAUUAAGUUUUCCAGGUGUGGUUGAAUUGACAACUCAACUUCUAAUGCUUGAGAAUAUUCUUUGGCUCCCCUUGUGUCGGAUCAAUAAAUUUGGGUUGAAUACUCUACCCUCGAAAAUUGUUGCGAUCCCCUAUACUUGUGGGUUAUCAAGACUAUUUUCUGGCGCCGUUGCCGGGGAGCAUAGCUCUAUUCUUUGAGUCACUUGGGAUUUAUAUCUGCUGAUCACUAUGAGGAACUUGAAAGACGAGAAAACCAAGAUUUAUCCCUCAACUACGAGGGAAGGUAAGGGACUGCCAUCUAGCUCUGCACUUGAUUCUCCAUCUGUUUUGAGUAAACUUGCGACAGCUAAACCUGCUUCUGCUAUUAAUUCUGAUAUGUCGCAUGUUAUUGAUGAUGCCACUUCUGCUAUGCGUGAUGCUUAUGAUGAAACUACUUCUAUGCUUGAUAAUAUUGUGCCAUUAGGUGAAUUUCUUGAUGAACAACUUGCUAGGGCUAGAGAGAAUGAAAUUAUUGAAACUGAUAAUACUGAUGAAAGUGAUGAUGAAGAUUCUCCCCCUAGAUAUGAAUUGCCUGUUGUGUCUGAGGGUUAUGCUAUGGAUGAAGAAACUGCUAGAGAUUUUCUUGCUUGCAAUGAUAGAUCUGAUCUUAAGAAAUUAUUAGCUAAGCUGAAAGAAAUGUCUCUGAAUGAUAGAAUGAAAUAUGACCCUGCUUUUGCUACUUCACCUAUCUGUAUUACUAAUAAGGAUUAUGAUUUCUCUGUGAAUCCUGAGAUAAUUACUUUGGUUGAAUCUGAUCCUUUUUAUGGUUAUGAAUCUGAAACUGUUGUGGCACAUCUUACUAAAUUGAAUGAUAUAGCCACCCUAUUCACUCACGAGGAAAAAAUUCGUUACUACUAUAUCCUUAAGUUAUUUCCAUUCUCAUUAAAGGGUGAUGCUAAAAUAUGGUUUAAUUCUCUUGAUCCUGGUUGUGUGCAUAGUCCCCAGGAUAUGAUUUAUUACUUUUCUGCUAAAUAUUUCCCCGCUCAUAAGAAACAAGCUGCUUUAAGGGAAAUAUAUAAUUUUGUGCAAAUUGAAGAAGAGAGUCUCCCACAAGCUUGGGGGAGGCUUCUCCAAUUACUUAAUGCCUUGCCUGAUCAUCCUCUCAAGAAAAAUAAAAUACUUGAUAUCUUUUAUAAUGGACUAACCGAUGCUUCCAGUGACCACCUGGAUAGUUGUGCUGGUUGUGUUUUCAGGGAAAGAACUGUUGAUCAAGCUGAAUUGUUAUUGAAUAAUAUGUUGACUAAUGAAAACAAUUGGACACUUCUUGAACCAACUCCUAAGCCAACUCCGAAGAAAAGGGUAUUCUAUUUCUCAGUCCUGAAGAUAUGCAAGAGGCAAAGAAAUCUAUGAAAGAAAAGGGUAUUAAAGCUGAAGAUGUUAAGAAUUUACCGUCUAUUGAAGAAAUACAUGGUCUUGAUAACCUGACACAUGUAGUAAAGGUACAUUAUCUCUAUAGAUUUGAUGAAGGUGAUAUGCCUCGUUAUAAGUCUGCUAGUCAAUGCUUGGAUGAGUUUGAUAAUUUUAUCGUUAAACAAGAAAACUUCAAUGCUUAUGUUGGUAGACAAUUGAAACGCAAUGCUUAUAUGAUUGAACACUUGAGUGAUUAUAUGUCUAGAGUUAAAGGUGAACUUAAACUUAUUAGUAAACAUGCUUCCAUGGUUACCACUCAAGCAGAACAAGUGCUUAAAGCACAAAAUGAUUUUCUCAAUGAAUUAAAUAAUAAGAAAAAUGAUAAUGAUGUUAGAUUUGUGACUAGAGGUGGUAGAAUGACUCAGGAACCUUUGUAUCCUGAGGGCCACCCUAAGAGAAUUGAGCAAGAUUCUCAGAGAAAUAAUGUUGUUGCACCUAGUCCUUCUAAAAAGAAGAAGAAGAAAAAUGAUAGGACUUUGCAUGCUUCUAGUGAACCUGUUGUUGACACACCUGAGGAUCCCAAUGAUAUUUCUAUUUCUGAUGCUGAAACACAAUCUGGUAAUGAACAUGAACCCAGUGAUGAUGUUAAUGAUGAUGUUCAUGUUGAUGCUCAACCUAGCAAUAAUAAUGAUGUAGAGGUUGAACAUGCUGUUGAUCUUGAUAACCACAAUCAAAGAAUCAACGUUACGAUAAGAGAGACUUUGUUGCUAGGAAGCACGGUAAAGAAAGAGAACCAUGGGUUCAAAAACCCAUGCCUUUUCCUCCUAAACCAUCCAAGAAAAAGGAUGAUGAGGAUUUUGAGCGCUUUGCUGAAAUGAUUAGACCUAUCUUUUUGCAUAUGCGUUUGACUGAUAUGCUUAAAACGAAUCCUUAUGCUAAGUACAUGAAAGAUAUUGUUACAAAUAAAAGAAGGAUAGCGAAAGCUGAAAUUUCCACCAUGCUUGCUAAUUAUACUUUUAAGGGUGGAAUACCAAAGAAACUAGGAGAUCCAGGAGUACCAACUAUACCAUGCUCCAUUAAAAGAAACUAUGUUAAGACUGCUUUAUGUGAUCUUGGAGCCGGUGUUAGUGUUAUGCCUCUCUCUUUAUAUCGUAGACUUGAUUUGAAUAAGUUGACACCUACUGAAAUAUCUUUGCAAAUGGCUGAUAAAUCAACUGCUAUACCUGUCGGUAUUUGUGAGGAUGUGCCUGUUGUGGUUGCAAAUGAUACUAUUUUAACGGACUUUGUUAUUCUUGAUAUUCCCGAGGACGAUAGUAUGUCAAUUAUCCUUGGUAGACCCUUUUUGAAUACUGCAGGGGCUGUUAUUGAUUGCAAUAAAGGCAAUGUCACUUUUCAUGUUAAUGGUAAUGAGCAUAUGGUACACUUUCCGAGGAAACAACCUCAAGUCCACAGUAUCAAUUGUAUUUGAAAAUUUUCAACGAUUACUAUUCGGAGGUUUUGAAUUUGCUCUUCCUACUGUCAAGAAGAAAUAUGAUAUUCUUAUUGUUGGGGACAUGCAUAUCCCCGUUGAGGUAACUUAGUGCUAUUCGAAGAUUCUCCGGUUUCAUGUGAUUCAGAAUGAGUUUGUUAACAAGACUUGAUCAACCUUGUUAGUGGAUUCCUUUUGAUGAGAAUGGGAUGGAUGAAGUUAGAAAGCACAACUCUCUGUACCCUCCUUUUACUUUCUGUUAUUUAGAUUAAAUAAAGCAAAAAUAGUAUUUUUCUGUCUGCUUUCUGAUUUAUCCUUGCAAUAAAAAAUACCCCAAAAAUAAAAGUUCUCCAAAUGUCCCGUAAAUGAAAUAUGAUUUUUUUUGUAGAAUAUUUAAGAAUAUUUGGCACUAAGAACACAUCAGGGGGCCACACCGCCUGGCCACGAGGGUCCAGAGCGCGCCUGCCCCCCUGGACGCGCCCCCCUGCCUCGUGGACCCCACGUGGCCCCCCUCCACUUAUUCCUGCACCCACACACUUCAUCUUCCUCCAAAAAAAAUCACCACACAGCUCAAACUCGUGUUCUAGCUCGUUUUGCUGCGAUUUUCGAUCUCCUUGCUCAAAGCUUCAUUCAUGAAACUGUUUUGGGGGAUUGUUCUUCGGUAUGUGACUCCUCCAAUGGCCCAAUUAGUUUUUGUUCUAGUGCUUUAUUUAUUGCAAAUUUUUGCUGCUAAGGUGACCCUGUUCUUGAGCUUCCAUGUCAAUUUUAUAUGGUCAAAAGUAGUUUUAAUGCAUGAUUUAGCUUCUAGGCAUUUGUGGGAGCAGUUGCUAUCAAUCUUGUUGAGUUUGGUUCACUUUUAUUUUGAGUCACUAAAAAUUUCAGAGAAAGAAAAAUGUAUAGGAAAAUAUACCAAGGUGGUUCCUCAAGAAAGCAAGGACCAAGGCUCGCGAUACGUGAGCCAGACGAUGAACCACCAAGGGAAGCUCAAGUGCGGCCUUGUGAAUGGCCAUCAGAAGAUUUUAUGGUUCAAGCAGGCAUUAAGGAGGAAUUUGACGCGUAUGUGCGUAAUGCUGAACUUGAGGGCUUUGUGUCAAAUAAGUGCCCCCAAUACUACUACCUAACUGAUUCCUUUGUGAGAAGGUUCAAAUUCACAUCCUCACGCAAUUCUCACACUGUUUUGUUUGAUCUUUAUGAUAAAUCAUAUACCAUGGACCUAGAAGAUUUUAAUACUGCUUGUAAACUCCCGCAGUGGGGCAAUUUUAGUGAACCUCGCAAAUCUGAAUAUAAAGACUUUCUUGCUAGUAUCAGUGUGGGGGAAUCUAGAGAAUUCACACAAGCUACCAUAGGGAGCAUUCAUUUUUCUUCCAUACAUUAUUUUUCUCUCUUUAUAGGUAGAUGCAUUAAUGGUAAAGAUGAAGCUUGUCACAUGUGCGUUCCAGAUCUUUGUGUUCUCAAAAGUGCGGUAUUAGGUGAUAAACAAUAUAACUUGGGGGCGAUUGUUGCAUGAAGGUUGCAUCAUAACAGUAUAAGUGGAGAUUUGUUUGGUGGGAUUUAUGCAACUCAUUUAGCUAACUAUCUUGAUGUACCCAUACAUGCAAAUGAUAUAGAGUUGCCUCAUGUUUAUUUAGAUUAUAAUGAUAUGGUUCGCAAUCAGUUUAUUGAGAGGAAUGAACAGCCCCUUCAGUACCGACUAAUCUUUGACAGACAGCGCGCUGUCCAUAUUGCUCUCCCUGCUCCUACUUUCUUUGACUUUCAGGUAAAAAGGAGAUAUGUUAUAACCAGGGAGGACGCGAACGAGUAUGAAAGGAGGACGGAGGCAGCUCGCCUCCAAGCUGCAGCUCGUCAGGCAGUAGCGGCUGCAUCUCAGUAUGACCCCAGUUACAACUUUGGAUAUCCGCGAGGCCAGCCGUGGCCAUAGACCAACUUAGUCCAAAGCCUAAGCUUGGGGGAGUAAGUAUUUCUCACCAACAUUACAUUCAUGUUCACACACUCAUUCUAGUUGUCGGUGCUCAUACUUUUUCAUUAUACUAUCCAUGGUAGUUUAUUUUCUUUUCUAAGCCUUCUUCUUGUGUGUUUGAAAAACCUUAAGAAAAACCAAAAAAAUUAGCUAGUCUACUUUCCAUGCUUGUAGUAGUAAUUAAAAGAAAACCCAAAAAGAUUUUUCAUUCUUCUUUUGCUUGUUGGGAGCUUUCCCGUGUAAAUAGUUUUAUUUCUUUUCUUUGGGGGUCGAGAGGAGAAGACCAUGAUGAAAAUGUUGAGUGGCUCUCAUUUGCAUUAUUGUUGAUUUAACCAAGAGCCCAUAUUACCUUGUCUUCUCCCUUGUAUUAAAUGCUUGCAGAUUCCAGCUUAGUCCAAUGCACGUGCACUAUUAUUAUUAUCCACAACGUUCGGUCGUGCGAGUGAAAGGCAAUAAUGACGAUAUAUGAUGGACUGAUUGAGAUGAGAGAAGCUGGUAUGAACUCGACCUAUCUUGUUUUUGUAAAUAUGAUUAGUUCAUCAUUCCUGAUUCAGCCUAUUAUGAAUGAAACAUGUUCGCAAUGACAAUUAGAGAUUAUAGUUGCUCAUGCCAUGCUUAAAUUAGCUAGGAGUUUAUAAUGGUUUACCUUGCGUGCCAACACGCUAUUACAAUGGUUGUGAUAUGGUAUGAUAGGGUGGUAUCCUCCUUUGAACGAUUCGAGUGGCUUGACUUGGCACAUGUUCACGCAUGUAGUUGAAACAAAAACAACAUAGCCUCCACGAUAUUUAUGUUCAUGGUGAUUUAUAUCCUACUCAUGCUUGCACUCGGUGUUGAUUAAUUUUAAUGCAUGUUCAUGACUGUUGUCGCUCUCUAGUUGGUCGCUUCCCAGUCUUUUUCUAGCCUUCACUUGUACUAAGCGGGAAUACUGCUUGUGCAUCCACUUCCAUAAACCCCAAAGUUAUUCCAUAUGAGUCCACCAUACCUUCCUAUAUGCGGUAUUUACCUGCCGUUCCAAGUAAAUUUGUAUGUGCCAAACUCUAAACCUUCAAAUGAAAUUCUGUUUUGUAUGCUCGAAUAGCUCAUGUAUCAACUAGGGCUGUCUAUAUUUUCCAUACUAGGUGGGUUAUUCUCACGAGGAGUGGACUCCGCUCCUCACUCACGAGAAAAUGGCCGGUAACCGGGAUGCCCAGUCCCAUGCUCAAAUCAAAAUAAUUGCAAACAAAACUCCCCCAGGAUUGUUGUUAGUUGGAGGCACCCAUUGUUUCGGGCAAGCCAUGGAUUGAUGCUUCUUUGUGGUGGGGGAGUAUAAACUUUACCAUUCUUUUUGGGAACCGCCUAUAAUGUGUGUAGCAUGGAAGAUAUCGAGAUCUCUUGGUUGUUAUGUUGAAAAUGAAAGUAUGCCACCCAAAAUAUUAUUUAUCUCUGUUUCAAAACUCAAGCUCUGGCACCUCUGCAAAUCCCUGCUUCCCUCUACAAAGGGCCUAUCUAUUUACUUUUAUGUUGAGUCAUCAUCCUCUUAUUAAAAAGCACCAGUUGGAGAGCACCGCUGUCAUUUACAUCCAUUACUAUUAAUUUAUAUUGAGUAUAACUAUGACUAGAUCUCUUUUACCAUGAACUACAAUGUCCAGUUAGUCCUUGAUCUUCAGAGGUGCUUUGCAUUUAUGUUUUGCAGUCUCAGAAAGGGCUAGCGAGAUACCAUCUUGUUAUGUCAUAUUAUGAUUGUUUUGAGAAAGUGUUGUCAUCAGAGAUUUAUUAUUAUUGCUCACUAGUUGAUUAUGCCAUUGAUAUGAGUAAAUAUGAGACCUAGAUGUUAUUGUGAAUGUGGUUAGUUCAUAAUCUUUGCUGAAAACUUGAAUGCUGGCUUUACAUAUUUGCAACAACAAGAGCAAACAGAGUUUGUAAAAGUUUUUCUUUAUCACUUUCAGUUUGUCAACUGAAUUACUUGAGGACAAGCAAAGGUUUAAGCUUGGGGGAGUUGAUACGUCUCCAUCGUAUCUACUUUUCCAAACACUUCUGCCCUUGUUUUGGACUCUAACUUGCACGAUUUGAAUGAAACUAACCCGGACUGACGCUGUUUUCAGCGGAAUUACCAUGGUGUUAUUUUUGUGCAGAAAUAAAAGUUCUCGGAAUGACCUGGAACUUCACGGAGAAUAUUUUUGGAAUUAAUAAAAAAUACUGACGAAAGAAUCAAGACCAGGGGCCCACACCCUGUCCACGAGGGUGGGGGUGCGCCUGCCCCCCUGGGCGCGCCCCCUGUCUCGUGGGCCCCCUGAGGCUCCAUCGACCUCAACUCCAACUCCAUAUAUUCACGUUCGGGGAGAAAAAAUCAAAGAGAAGGAUUCAUCGCGUUUUACGAUACGGAGCCGUCGCCAAGCCCUAAACUCUCUCGGGAGGGCUGAUCUGGAGUCCGUUCGGGGCUCCGGAGAGGGAAUCCGUCGCUGUCGUCAUCAUCAACCAUCCUCCAUCACCAAUUUCAUGAUGCUCACCGCCGUGCGUGAGUAAUUCCAUCGUAGGCUUGCUGGACGGUGAUGGGUUGGAUGAGAUUUACAAUGUAACCGAGUUAGUUUUGUUAGGGUUUGAUCCCUAGUAUCCAUUAUGUUCUAAGAUUGAUGUUGUUAUGACUUUGCUAUGCUUAAUUCUUGUCACUAGGGCCCGAGUGCCAUGAUUUCAGAUCUGAACCUAUUAUGUUUUCAUGAAUAUAUGUGAGUUCUUG